GCUCACCCUCUAUCUGUCAGU
rnacentral:miRNA from 1 species